AGAGAAACAGACUAAUAUUAGCGUAGAUGCCAUUCUUUUAAUGAUGUAGCAAGUACAUUGGGUACUGGGGUCUGGGGUCAAGGCAUACAGACAUGUCAAGGAAUUUGGCUACAGUUGCCGUAAUCCUCUUGUUAAGCCACUCCUGAACCACAGACAGCGUCAAAGGUGUCUUACCUAGGCUAAGGAGAAGAAUAACUGGACUGUUGCCCAGUGGUCCAAAGUACACUUUUCAGAUGAGAGCAAGUUUUGUAUUUCAUUUGGAAACCAAGGCCCUAGAGUCUGGAGGAAGGGUGGAGAAGCUCAUGGCCCAAGUUGCUUAAUUUCCUGUGUUAAGUUUCCACAGUCUGUGAUGAUUUGGGGUGAAAUGUCAUCUGCUGGUGUUGGUCCAUUGUGUUUUUUGAAAACCAAAGUCACUGCACCUCUUGGUAUUGUCAAGAGGAAAAUGCAGAUGAGCUGAAGGCCACUGUCAAAGAAACCUGGGCUUCCAUACCACCUCAGCAGUGCCACAAACUGAUCACCUCCAUACCACGUCGAAUUGAGGCAGUAAUUAAAGCAAAAGGAGCUCCUACCAAGUAUUGAGUACAUGUACAGUAAAUUAACAGUAAAUUAACAUACUUUCCAGAAGGCCAACAAUUCACUAAAAAUGUUUAUUAUUAUUAUUAUUAUUAUUAUUAUUAUUAUUAUUAAAUUGUAGAGAGUGAAUUGGUGGGUUUUUUCAAUUUGAGUUGAAUUACUGAAAGAAUUAACUUUUCCACGACAUUCUAAUUUAUUGAUAUGUACCUAUUUCUAGCUUUAUAUGGAGAGCUGUAAAAUAAAACAGUUUACAUUUUUGUGAAAAUCACAAAGCCAAGAUUAGGUAUAUAGUGUUUAUUGCUUUAUGUGAGUAGUAUACUGUAUGUUCGCAGGUACAGUAUCAGCAUUCAGUUUUCAGUUACAGCCUUACCCUUUAAUAAAGUCCAUGUCUUACUGUUGUUCAUAAAAUAACUUGUUGUUCCACAAUGUCGUGAUAUUCUCUCUGUAUAUUCUCCAAUGGGUUACAUGAAUGCAAUAGUUUAAUCGUUUAUCAACAGUAGUUUAAUACCUUUUCCUUCUCUUCCAAAAACUCUCACUCCCACUUUCUAAAACCUAUUUUUAGCUCCUUAUACUGAAUGAUUGGUGAGAGCAAAGCACGACUCUUUCCUCCCAUGGAAAGUAACACAACAGGCUGUGUCUCAGAUAUUAUUAGCACCUUCUAUGUUCAGGUCCCCACUGAUCAGAGACACCCUGUAUCCUUGUCAUGGAGAUGCACAAUGAUGCAACAAGCCUAUUCCACAGAUGGAUGACACAGAUGGAUGCCCCCCUCCCCACACCAACGCACCUCGAUAUUCACAUUCACCACCUCAGAAUUUCCCAGAUACAUGCUGUUUAGCCCAUUAGCGGGCCAUAUUAAGUGUUAAGAGACAGCCCAUUAGCCCAGAUUAUGCGCCUAUCACUUGGGAUGAAUUCAUCAGACAAUGACGUGCGCAAAUAGCACUUAGCCGGAGCUCAAGGCUUGGAUUACGCACAUGCCACCCCCACAGGCUCACUGGAGAAGAAUCCGAAUACUGUUGUCCUAACCGCAUUUUCAAAUAAAUGAAUAUAAGGACCAUUUUGCCUCGAUUCUCUCCUCAAGUGUAGUUAGUUAACUUCAAAGCUUCUAUGUAGUUAACAUGUAAUUUCAUACUUGAGAUUGGCUACAUUUAACUUGUACUUCUGUUGUUUCUCAUUGAGUUUUAUAAAGCAUCUCUGAACAGUGAACUCUCACUCAUUCAUUCAUCCCAUAUACUCGUUAGUUUUGCCGCUUAUUUUCCUUCAUUAUUUCUCUCUUCUUCCAUAUUACAUUGUCAACUUAUUUAUGCACUUGUUGCUCACAGAAGAGAUGAUUUUUCAGUUGUUUCUUGAAGAUUGUGAGGGAUUCGGCUGUCUGGAUGGAGUUAGGUAGGUCAUUCCACCAACAGAGUACGGUGAAAGAAAACGUAAGCCACGACUGGAAGACAGUGCAGAGAGAUCAGAAGCAGUGUGACAUGGACUCUCUUGGGCUCAUUGAAACCAAGACAUGCUUCUGCAUUCUGACUCAUUUGCAGAGGUCUGAGUGCACUUGUUGGAAGUCAAGCCAGAAGAGCAAUGCAAUAGUCCAGCCUAGAAAUGACGAAGGACUGGACGUGAAGCUGCAUUGCAUGCUUUGUUAGGAAGGGUCUGAUCUUCCUGAUGUUGUACAAACCUGCAUUAUCAUGCUGAUUUUGCAAUAUGAGCCUUAAAGGUCAGCUGAUCACCAAGGAUCACCCCAAGAUUCCUGAACGAACAUGAUUUUUGUGGAAUAUAGCAUGCCAGUCAUACAUUUAUUGUACUUUCAUGCUGUUUCUUUGCAUUCUUUGGAGCUUGGCAGCAUAAAUCACCAUUCAUUUUACAGUUUUAAUUAGAAAAUACCAGCUAGGACAAUCUUUAAAAUAUGAAUAUGAACAAAAAACACAACCUUUCAGGUGUGAAUUUUGUUGAAAACACAAUGGUUUAACGUGUAAGGCCACGGAGUUGUCAUUCAGUGAAUUUCAAAUGUUAUUUAGGGGAAGGGAAUAUGAUAAGAGGAUGACAAUUCUUACAUCCAAUAUGAACAUCUUUUUCUAGUAAAGAUCAUCUUCAAACCUGGGAGAAAUUGUUCAGCAGAAAUGUUCCUUAUGACAUACUAAAUAUUCCCACCUCUGAAAUUGCGUUGUUUACUAAGCUAACUAGAAAUCCCCUGAAAGACAGGAAGUAAGAUGUUUGGUUACAGUUACUUCCUGUGGUUGAGUUUUACAAAACAUUUUAAGUUUAGGGCUAAGAGAAGAAAAGAGAAAAGGAACUGAUAGCCAAAGUUUGACGUUGUUAUGAAACUACGGCUAUGUUGAGAAAGGAGCAGAGUUUGAUUAUAUCAAAUCAAAUGAAUGCAAGUAGCUCAGAGGGCAAGUUUCAUACUGACUGUCUGACGUGAACUGUGGUAUGCAUGCACACCGCUUAUAAUAUCUCAUAACAAUAGUUUGACAUCACAGAAAUUAUUUACCUUGGUGUUUACAUUUUUACAUGUGGCACAGUAUUUGCAUCACUUUUUUUCUAAGAAAAAAAAAGAGCUUAUGUAACCCAAUAUCUGGGUUAUAUGAUAUCUGUAUGUAUGACUUCUAUAUAAUAUAUGAAUAAUAUUUUCUGUGUCUCUUACCAUUUUAAUCCAUCUCCAGCUAUUGCAGACCUGUGUUCUGAUUUCUACAAAGCAUCUGAUGUUUUCUGCUGCAAUAAAUCUGAGGCAGAGCUGUUGACGGGUCUGUCCGUUACCUCAAUGGUUGUGGUUCGGUUAUUGUCACCUUGGGGCCACAGGGCUGAGUGAUGUGUCAGUCCACCAACAUGGCCCCGAAACACAUUCCCAACACUACAGUGACUGUUGCAGCUAUUACGGGAGCAGGCGACAGCUCCAUUGGUGCUGUGGCUUUCUACCCAUUAUCCCACAAUGCCGCUGGCAGAGAUGGCCAGGAGAGCCAACCUCAUCGCAGCCGUGUCUGUACAAACUCUCUGCACUCAAACGACUUUUCCAUUUCAGAAGGAUCUGCCAACUGAACCAUUCUGAAGGUGACCCUUGACCUAUAAACAACACCAUUAAUCUGUCCACAGUGUCCACAGAAUUAUUGUUUGUAUAAUAAACAAAACCAU